AUUGAACGCUGGCGGCAGGCCUAACACAUGCAAGUCGAGCGGAUGAAGGGAGCUUGCUCCUGGAUUCAGCGGCGGACGGGUGAGUAAUGCCUAGGAAUCUGCCUGGUAGUGGGGGAUAACGUCCGGAAACGGGCGCUAAUACCGCAUACGUCCUGAGGGAGAAAGUGGGGGAUCUUCGGACCUCACGCUAUCAGAUGAGCCUAGGUCGGAUUAGCUAGUUGGUGGGGUAAGGGCCUACCAAGGCGACGAUCCGUAACUGGUCUGAGAGGAUGAUCAGUCACACUGGAACUGAGACACGGUCCAGACUCCUACGGGAGGCAACAGUGGGGAAUAUUGGACAAUGGGCGAAAGCCUGAUCCAGCCAUGCCGCGUGUGUGAAGAAGGUCUUCGGAUUGUAAAGCACUUUAAGUUGGGAGGAAGGGCAGUAAGUUAAUACCUUGCUGUUUUGACGUUACCAACAGAAUAAGCACCGGCUAACUUCGUG
rnacentral:rRNA from 1 species